GGGUUGAAGGUAAUAGGAACUCCCUGCUAUAUUUGAAGGACUGGCAUUUUGUAAAGGAAUACCCAGAAUAUGUAGCAUACGGAACCCCACUACUUUUUUGUGAUGAUUGGCUUAACCUGUAUCUCGACCAUCAUCGCAUGCAUAAGGAUCCUGACACUAAUCAAGAAAAUGACGACAUAAGUUGCUCUGACGACAUAAGUUGCUCUGACUAUCGUUUUGUUUAUAUGGGAG
rnacentral:misc_RNA from 1 species